rnacentral:rRNA from 1 species
CCUACGGGGGGCAGCAGUGGGGGAUAUUGCACAAUGGGGGAAACCCUGAUGCAGCGACGCCGCGUGUGGGAAGACGGUCUUCUGGAUUGUAAACCACUGUCCCCAGGGACGAAAAUGACGGUACCUGGGGAGGAAGCUCCGGCAAACUACGUGCCAGCAGCCGCGGUAAUACGUAGGGAGCAAGCGUUGUCCGGAAUUACUGGGUGUAAAGGGAGCGUAGGCGGGGAUGCAAGUUGGGUGUCAAAACUACCGGCUCAACCGAUAGUCGCAACCAAAACUGCAGCUCUUGAGUGAAGUAGAGGCAGGCGGAAUUCCUAGUGUAGCGGUGAAAUGCGUAGAUAUUAGGAGGAACACCAGUGGCGAAGGCGGCCUGCUGGGCUUUUACUGACGCUGAGGCUCGAAAGUGUGGGGAGCAAACAGGAUUAGAUACCCUGGUAGUC